rnacentral:rRNA from 1 species
UACGAGGGGGGCGAGCGUUGUUCGGAUUUACUGGGCGUAAAGGGCGCGCAGGCGGCGCAUUUUGUCAGGCGUGAAAGCCCCGGGCUUAACCUGGGAACUGCGUUUGAUACGGAUGGGCUAGAGUUCGGGAGAGGAGAGUGGAACUCCCAGUGUAGAGGUGAAAUUCGUAGAUAUUCGCAAGAACACCAGUGGCGAAGGCGGCUCACUGGCCCGGUACUGACGCUGAGGCACGAAAGCGUGGGGAGCAAACAGG